rnacentral:lncRNA from 1 species
GAAUCAUGGAAUCAUAGUGACCAGUAACUGUUAUGGACUGGAUUGUAUCCCCCUCCAAUUCAGUUAUGGUGCUGCUUCAGAAAGAAAAGAGAUAGUUUCCCUUGCAAAGUUAUCAAAGUGCUCCCCAGAAGACAUUAGGUAUUUGCUUUCUAGUCUACAUACAAUGAAAAGGAAAAAACGUCAGUUCCUGAAGCUCUCUCAAAACAUCAACAGAUGGAAAGACGUGCCCAUGUCCUCCCCUCCCUCCACUCUGGGGGCUUGGAAAUGCUGCAGCAGGGAGCAGGCCCCAGGCUGGACCUGCCCUGUCCUCACGACGAGUGUGUGCAAAAGUGAACAAUAAAUCAUUUCAAAGAUGCAAGGAAGAAAAACCAAAACAUCAACAGAAUCUUCUUUCCCAUAAUCUUCAUGCACCUCCUGGUCCGGAUGAGUUUAUGUUCCCAUCUCCGAGCACAGGGAUUGAUUGUGAUGGCAUUUAUAGGACUGAGUGCCCCACACUCUGUGAUCCAGCAUGGAGUUAUGAUUUACAUCACCACAGGAAGAGUACAGAGGCUUCAACAGAAAAAAAGCAAAAACAACAGACCUUCAUUCAGCUUAGGAACAUAAUAAAUAGGACGAAGUUGAAUAAACGAAAUGGAGGGGAGUGAAGUAUUCCAGAUGGAAGAGGCAGUACGUGGCCAAGAGGAAACAGACCAUGUGCGCUGGAGAAAAAGGAUGGCCAGACUUGCAGAAACCUGGAAUUGGUGAUUGGCUUUAGAAGUGGAGAGACAAAAAAGGAGGCAUAGAAAGUGCCAACAUUUGGCUACACAGGGAAGAAAGACGUAAAAUAAUAAAAACAUUGGCAUCACCUGUAGACUCAAAUCCUGUGAGUGAAGGACCUGAGCAAUGAAGGAUGGAUUGAACUCGUGAUUAGCCUUCUUCAGCAUAUGUAAAAUGAUGUCUGCUUUUCUUCUCUAUUUGUCAUUUUACCGACUUUUUAUAUAUAGUAGUUUCCCCAUAUCCAUGGAGGAUGUAUCCCAAGACCCCCAGAGGAUGCUUGAAACCACAGAUAAUAACAAACUCUAUGUAUCCUAUGAUUUUUCCUGUACAUCCUUACCUAUCAUAAAGUGAGUGUAUAAACUAGGCACAGGAGAUUAAAAACAAUAACUCAUAAUAAAAUAGAACAAUUAGUACAACCUAAUGAAAGUUAUCUGAAUGUGAUCUCUCUCAAAAUAUCUUAUUGUAGUGUACCAUGGGUAACUGAAAUGAUAGAAAACAAAAUUGCUGAUAAAGGGGGAUAUUGUAGUAAAAUAAAGGGGGAUGGGUAGAGCGUAGGAAGCAUUCACAAUUAGAACAGUUGGCAGUAGGGAAAGAAACAUACUUUAAAUUGGAAUGUGGAUCACAUGGCUGCCUCCUGCCAGUCAUGAUCGCAGGGUACAGAGGCCUCUGGUAUGUCAGGUCUUCUCUCCCACCACUAAUACUGCCCAAAAGACUCCAUCAGCAACCAGAGCUGAAUCACACACAACCCAGAUUGUCAUUUCUGAUGACUUUGACUUAAACAAACAGACAUAUUUUUAAUCUUUUUAGUGUGUGUGAAACUAGCAAGGCCUAAUGAAUUGAGUAUAUGGAUGAGGUUUGUGGCCUCUGUAACGUUUUCUCCAACCAGAACCUACUGAAAUAGCACAGAUGGUGAUGAGUAUGGUUCAAACACAAGAAUUCUUGGGUAAGUGACAAGAAUCUCGGUCUCCUGCCAUUUCCAUCUCUGCAUUUACUUACUGUGUGAAUUUGGACGAGUCAUGUAAUCUUCUGGCUUCAGUGUGUUUAUCUCUGUAAUUAAUAUGUUCAGUAACAGUUCUUCCCUCUGACCUAAAAAUAACCACUUCUUCCAAAGGUAUAUAUUAGAACUAUAUACAUAUAUACUAUACAAAUAUCUAACAUUUAUAUACUUAAUAUAUGUAAUAAACAUACUACACAUGUAAAUUUAAUGAUCUACCCUAUUCUCAGCCUCUACUUUCCUCUGACAAUGACAUCAUUCAAAUACUCUAAAAAGCUCAUAUUAUAGAAUCUUUAUAUUUAAAAAAGUUUUGUAAUGCUCUAAACUUAAUUGCAUAUUGCUAAGUGAAAGAGGCCAGUCUGAAAAAGCUAUGCACUGUAUGAUUCCAACUAUAUGACAUUCUGGAAAAGCCAAAACUAUAGAGACAAUAAAAGUAUCAAAGGCCUUUAGGGGGUUCAGGGAAAUGGGUGAGGAAUUAAAUAAAUGGAGUACAGCACACUUUUAGGGCAGCGAAACUAUUGUGUAUGGUACUCUAACAGUGGAUAUGUAACAUUACACUUUUAUCAAAACCUAUAAGCCCCAAACAGAAUGUUGUAAAUGUAAACUCUGGACUUCAUUUAUUUGUAGAGACAGGACUUUAGUUAAAAGUCCAUAUUGGUUUAUUAAUGGUAGCAAAUAUACCACACGAACGCCAGAUGCUAGUAAGAGCAGAAACUGUGUUGGGAGGAGGGAAGAUGUAUGGGAACUGGACUUUCUGUGCAGUUUCUCUCGGUAAACCUAAAACUGCUCUAAAAUUUUUCUAUUGAAUUUUUCAAUUAUUCCAGUUAUUCUCUAUAAAUUAGCAUACCUAUUGGCCCCCAAUUACCUUGCUAAUUUUAGGUUACUUAUUUUUAUAUGGUUCUCGAUUUAGUCUCCUUGGGCAAAUAGUAAACUGCAUGGCUUUUACUCUCUCUGACUUUCUUUUUCUGUCCUUCACAGAAAUUGAAGUUGAAGUAUAAGGAGAAUUUUUACAUCACCCAGGUUCUAAUUUGGAAGGUUUCUAACAGCCCUCUGUCCUCUUCUGGUGCUCACUGUGAAAGAAUUUGCACCCUGCAACACUAAGUGUUUGUGCUAGAAUCCACUUCUGAUGUUGGCUGCUCUGACACAGCUUCCAUUCGGCAGGGUCUCACUCUUGUCGCCCAGACUGCAUUGCAGUGGGGUGAUCUCGGCUCAUUGCAACCUCUGUCUCCCGGAUUCAAGCAAUUCUCCUGCCUCAGCCCCCCAAGUAGCUGGGUUUACAGGUAUGUGCAACCAUGCCCAGCUAAUUUUUUUUUGUAUUUUUUUCAGUAGACAUGGUUUUUUUUUUUAAAUUUUAUUAUUAUUAUACUUUAAGUUUUAGGGUACAUGUGCGCAACGUGCAGAUUUGUUACAUAUGUAUAUAUGUGCCAUGUUGGUGUGCUGCACCCAUUAACUCGUCAUUUAGCAUUAGGUAUAUCUCCUAAUGCUAUCCCUCCCCACUCCCACCACCCCACAACAGUCC